ACCAAAAUAUAUAUAUAUAUAUAGUGUAUGUAUAUAUUUAAUGCAUUUUUUGAAUAUUACCAAAAUAUCCUAACUGCCCUUCUCAUUUUUCCUACCAAUUGUUUGUCUAGGUCGUGGAAGUGGAAGGCAAAGUGGAAGGAAGGGUGCUGAAAAAUCUGGAAGGGAAGGGAACCUACUCGAAUUGCAUGUUGGUGUUCAUUUGUUUGUUUGGGUGUUUAUGGUAAAAAAAUUUCUUUUUGCUGCAAUAGAAUUCGCCACCCGUAAUUGAUUUGCAAAGGAAGUUGCUGUUCGUUUGGGUCUUCUGUUCGGAUUCGGAUUUGGAUCGUCAGAAAUUAAUGUGUUGUUUCUGUUCUUCGGUGGCCUGGUUUCAUGAAGAAGUACUAAGAAGUGCAGGGUCUAGUAGGGCCAAUCAAGGGUGGUGUAAGAAGAAUAAUAGAGAAGAAAUCCAGGGAUGUAUGGAGUGCAAUGACCAUGGAGGAGAAGGCUCCCUUUUAUAAGGGAAAAAGAUUGCGUGAUAUGGAAUUCAGAAAGUGUGGUGGCUUAGAAGUGAAUAAAAUGAAGAAGAAGGUUGAAUACAACAUUAAACCUAGGUGGAACAAAUGCUCACAGUAUUUAAACUUGGAGAGGAAAAGAGGAAUGAUGUUGCAGAUAUAGGUUUCAGCAAUUUACUAAACCUACAAUGUGAGCAUUUGUUUACCCCAUUGUUUGACUACAUCAUUGGACAUUUGGAGUUAGACAAAUGUCGCAUUAAACUUGAUGAUAAUCAAUAUCUCCCAAUUAAUACAAUUAAUGUCCACAACAUCCUCGGCUUACCUGCUAGAAUGACGACAGUGCCUACAUGUCCGCAAUUUGAUGCCAAUUGAAUAUGUAAAGGUGGAUAUCGCAAUUGGUUGCAUGUAAAUUCUUUGAUGGAAAGGGUAGAAGAAUUCGAGCCCAGCGAAGAUUUCAAAAGAGCGUUUGUGCUUUUUGCAUGUGCCGUUUUUCUAACAGCUAAUAGACGUUAUAAUGCACAUGUACAAGAAUUAAAGGUUGUUGAUAAUGUGAAUCAAAUAAAGUCUUACAACUGGUGCACGUAUGUGCUUGAAACUUUAAUGGAUCACUUGGGUGGAGUUGAAGGUGGGAAAAAAGUAUGAGUAUACUGGGUGCAUGUUUUUCCUGCAGGUAAAUAACAUUACCUACUUAUCUUUUACAAAAUACUUUAUUAUUAUCUCAUAAGUAUGAAUCAUGACUGAUUAAACACGGUGUAAUUUAAUUCAGCUUCUAUAUGUCAUUAGAUGUAAAGUUAAAUUUGAAAAUUUUCUCAAAAAUUGAAGGUGAAGAUUGUGUGGAUCAAAAAAGAGGAGUUAGUCAAUUAUGUACCAAUUGAUUCUAUGGAACUAGUUUCCAAAAGGUCAUUAGGUGCAAAACCUUCAAACUAAAUCCUACGAUGGUUGAUUAAUCAUGUAAUGUGUUCAUUAAAAAAAAAA